AUUAAUAAGCGGAGGAAAAGAAACUAACCAGGAUUCCCCUAGUAACGGCGAGUGAAGCGGGAAAAGCCCAGCACCGAAUCCCUCGUCUUUCGGACGACGGGACCUGUGGUGUUUAGGAUUGCUCAUCGCGCGGCUGGCAGGUGUUCGAGUCCUCCUGAUAGGGGCUUUACCCAGAGCGGGUGUUAGGCCUCUAGGACGUCGGCCGACCGAGCACGAGCUUUCCUCGGAGUCGGGUUGUUUGAGAAUGCAGCCCAAAGCGGGUGGUAAACUCCAUCUAAGGCUAAAUACUGGCACGAGUCCGAUAGCAAACAAGUACCGUGAGGGAAAGUU
rnacentral:rRNA from 1 species